rnacentral:rRNA from 1 species
CCUACGGGAGGCAGCAGUGAGGAAUAUUGGUCAAUGGACGAGAGUCUGAACCAGCCAAGUAGCGUGAAGGAUGCCUGCCCUAUGGGUUGUAAACUUCUUUUAUAUGGGAAUAAAAUGUUCCACGUGUGGGAUUUUGUAUGUACCAUAUGAAUAAGGCUAGGCGAACUCCGUGCCAGCCGCCGCGGUAAUACGGAGGAUCCGAGCGUUAUCCGGAUUUCUUGGGUUUAAAGGGGGCGUAGGUGGAUGGUUAAGUCAGUUGUGAAAGUUUGCGGGUCAACCGGAAAAUUGCAGUUGAAACUGGCAGUCUUGAGUACAGUAGAGGAGGGCGGAAUGCGUGGUGUAGCGGUGAAAUGCUUAGAUAUCACGAAGAACUCCGAUUGCGAAGGCAGCUCACUGGACUGCAACUGACACUGAGGCACGAAAGUGUGGGUAUCAAACAGGAGUAGAUACCCUGGUAGUC